CAAAGGGAGAGGGACUUAAGUGAGAGUGAAAACACAAGCACAAGAACCCCAGGGGGAUUCAAUGGAGCCUGAAGACCUGCAAUGAGACCCUCACCCUGAGUCUCAACUCCCAGAGUUUUGCAAGCCUCUCCCUGUUCCUUAUUUUUAUUAAACCAGACAUUAAGCUUC